rnacentral:rRNA from 1 species
UACGUAGGCAGCGAGCGUUGUUCGGAGUUACUGGGCGUAAAGAGCUCGUAGGCGGUCUGUCGCGUCGGCUGUGAAAUCCCGAGGCUCAACCUCGGGUCUGCAGUCGAUACGGGCAAACUAGAGUAUUGCAGGGGGAGACUGGAAUUCCUGGUGUAGCGGUGAAAUGCGCAGAUAUCAGGAGGAACACCGGUGGCGAAGGCGGGUCUCUGGGCAAUAACUGACGCUGAGGAGCGAAAGCGUGGGGAGCGAACAGG